GAAUGAAAAAGUUUUGGCAAAUGGAAUCCCAGCUUCCCGCACGUCGUCAUGGGGUGCUGAUUGGCAAGACCUAAUGGACGCGUAGUCAUGGGGUGUUGAUCAACUCCUAAUGGGGCAAGACCUCCCCUCCCUAUAAAUAUAAAGGGCCACGGCCGAUUGAGGGCAUCCAAUCGAUCAAAAAUCAAUCUAUCUUUUAUCGUUUUACCUUUCUU
rnacentral:lncRNA from 1 species